rnacentral:rRNA from 1 species
UGGUGGAGUGAUUUGUCUGGUUAAUUCCGAUAACGAACGAGACCUUAACCUGCUAAAUAGUUAGCUAACCUCUGGUUGGCGGGCAACUUCUUAGAGGGACUGUUAGCGUUUAGCUAACGGAAGUUUGAGGCAAUAACA